UACUAGAGUAGCACUCGCAUAUCAAUAAGCGGAGGAAAAGAAACUAACAAGGAUUCCCCUAGUAACGGCGAGUGAAGCGGGAAGAGCUCAAAUUUGAAAUCUUAAAGGGUUUCCCUUUACGAAUUGUAGUUUAAAGAAGUGUUUUCUGUUGAGGUUUUGGUAAAAGUUCUUUGGAAUAGGACAUCAUAGAGGGUGAGAAUCCCGUAUUUGACCUUUACUUUCAACUUUGUGAUACACUUUCAAAGAGUCGGAUUGUUUGGGAAUGCAGUCCAAAAUGGGUGGUAAAUUUCAUCUAAAGCUAAAUAUUGGCGAGAGACCGAUAGCGAACAAGUACCGUGAGGGAAAGAUGAAAAGAACUUUGAAAAGAGAGUUAAACAGUACGUGAAAUUGUCAAAAGGGAAGCGUUUGACACCAGUGUUGUUUCUCUGAAAAUCAAUUAAAGAACUGUUUAUGCUAAGCUGUCUAGACUUUAUCAGCUAUCUGUUUAGUUUUGAGCUUUUCUUUAAUGCACUUUUCAGUUAACAAGUCAACAUCAAUUUCUUUUGCUGUAAAAAAGCUUGAGGAAGGUGGCUUGAGAUUCGUCUUAAGUGUUUAUAGCCUCUUGCCUAUGCAGUCGGAGAGAUUGAGGUCUGCAGCGUAGAUCCUUCGGGGCUAAAUGCAUUUGUGCUAAGUUACAGCAUUUUAUAGACAACUUGUUGACUAUGAUUUGUCUUGUAGCUUACUCGCUUAUGUUAUUUUACCUACGCUUAGGAUGUUGAGCGCAUGUCUCUCUCU
rnacentral:rRNA from 1 species